ACGUAGGCACCAAGCGUUGUCCGGAUUUAUUGGGCGUAAAGAGCUCGUAGGCGGUUCGGUAAGUCGGGUGUGAAAACUCUGGGCUCAACCCAGAGCCGCCACCCGAUACUGCUGUGACUUGAGUUCGGUAGGGGAGCGGGGAAUUCCUGGUGUAGCGGUGAAAUGCGCAGAUAUCAGGAGGAACACCAGUGGCGAAGGCGGGUCUCUGGGCCAUAACUGACGCUGAGAAGCGAAAGCAUGGGGAGCGAACAGGA
rnacentral:rRNA from 1 species